UAUUCACAGUAUGGUCUAUUCAUGCAUUAUCUCUAUACUCAUAGACCCAGGGUACACCUAUUUGUACCCCGAAUGCUAAUUUAUAGAUCUUCAACAUAUUGCUCCCAAAAAUGGUGGAAGAAAUACUCAUGUCACCUGAUCUACAUAUACAUUUUAUCACAGUGAUAUUCUGGACACAAAAUGCAAAGGUCACACUUAUGAUUGUACCAAAGCCUAUUUGGAAAGUGAGCAUGGAUUACUAAAAACAUCCUUGUCCAGGUUGCCUAAUGCUCUCAAAUGUCAAUCCUAUUGGUUACUACAUAUUUGUUUCUGCCUAAGAUUAUAUAUUCAACAUCAACCCUGUUGAAAAUGUCUAAUCCAAUCACUCACUUUAUACUUUGCUGAUUUCCUAAUGUCUAUAUUCAUAUCUGCUUUCCUACAUAUCUUCCCCAGUUCAUCAUUGUGACUGAUUCUUCACAUGUGCUGAUAUUUACAUUCACUCUCUAACAGACACCCUAUUGCUAAAGAACUUUUGGUCCAAAUAUUAUACUCACUCUUCUUCCAAAACCUACUGACUAUCUUCCUAAUCCUACCUACUAUCCCUUUUUGACUGGAUGUUUUCUUCUACAUUGAAUCAUCCAAGGUACAAGGUCCUGUGCCUUUAUAUAUGGAUUUAUCGGAGACAUCUGUACAGAAUGUAAUUCAAAGCUAAGUAUCCCAAUCAAGGGCCCAAUGCCCUUCUGGCCUUCAAAUCUUACUUAUAUUUCUGUUUUCAUACAUAUAUUUCACCUCUAUAUUAUUAUAAAUAUCACAGGUUCCCAAUACCAUUCUUUAUUUAGCAGAAUGAUUCCUAACCCAAGUGGAACAUGUUCUUAACCCCAAGCAUACAAUGUUCCCUCAAUCUAACUUUACAGAAGAGCAGGAACAGAGUUGGUCUUACAAUACAGGAAAGUAGGGGAUCUUCCACCUGCUGAGAACCUCAAAGGUCCAUGCAGAAAUGAUCCUUGGAGAAGAUGUAGGCAGCUAGGAAGGACCUGAGAGAGCAAAAGUCAUCUUCCGUGGCAAACAACCUGGUCAGGAUGAAGGGAUGGGACUGAAUGAGCCUCUCUCUUCUUAAUGUAGACAAGAUGGACCAAACCAGGCCUGUGUGGAGAGCUUUUCCUAGGUUCCUAUGGUUGAUAUACCAUUCUAACUUGUGAAAGUGUCACACGAAGCAGGGGCACCCUCCAUCUCAUGGGACCCUUAGAAGCAAUAGUUAGGACAAAGUGGUUUCCAAGGCAGUGACCUCAUUCAGUUCCUGAAAGAGGUGACCUCACCACACUUCCUUGGUGAUGGAACUCUCUGAACUUGGGAUCCAGGAAGCCAGGCACCCAGAGGCAGUCUCAGAACCAGUCCCAGUGGGCUCACUUGUUUGGAUUUACCAAGGACAGAGCACUGAAAUAUUGAGAUGAGGAAGAAACCCCAGGCAGAAGGCAAUGGAGAGAACACAUGCAUAGAGAGUGAGAUGCCCUUGAAUUUGGGGAUUGUGUUGAUCACGGAAGGAGCUGCCGAGGCUGGCUGCCAGCUAGAGUGUGCUUGGCACUGCUCCAAAGAACGAGAAUCAACCUCACCUUUCCGACAGUUUAUCCAGACCCUGGAGGGAUCUUCCAGGGCCAGAGCCCCUCGACAGAGAGUGCUUCACUGAGACAGACCCAAACCUCCACCAAGAAGAAACUCCAAGCAAGAGGCGUGUCUGCAGACGCGUACACAUGUGUCGACACAUAAGGUGCAUGCAUGCCUGCCUCGAAAGCAUCUGCAAGGACACGCAGUAGCAUCAGGAGUGGGAAUCUCAGGGCAAUUUUAGGUUUUUGGUUUUGCCACACCGACUUUCCUAAACUUCUACAGUGCCUAGGUAAUAUAUGUGUGAUGAUAUUUUUCUUUGAUUAAACAAAUAAAGAGCGAUUACGUAUUCCA